GAACUUCUGCCUACAGCCUGAUAAAUGCUGUGUGUUAAGGACGGCUCCUUCUAACUCUGCAGCAGAUGUUUGAUUUUUACCUCUGGACCUUGCUUCAUCUCCAAGCAGCCUUGCAAAUACUGCUCUUCUGGUCAGGAGAGAAAGGCUGAACACAGAUGACCAAAAAUAGCAUGAACAAAAGGCUAUUUAAGAAUCCAGGUGGUGACAUGGUUUGAGAAGUUAAUGAAAUCAUAUGUCUUGGAAGGGAUGUUUGGAGAUCAGCUGGUCAAGCCUCCUCCUCAACCCAGCCUUCUAAAGCAGGGGCAACUUUCAUCAGAUUGCUCGAGGUCAUGAGUGAAUACCCAGUUCUGAAUACUUUAAAAAUGGAAACUUCAUAACACGUAAGAGCCACCUGUUCCAGUGUUUGACUGCUUGACAGAUAAGGUUGGCCAGUCUAUGUAGUUCUUUUUGCACAGAUGAU